GUUUUUCUAAUAUGGAGCUUUGUAACUGGGACUUAUUUACAGACUGAAAAAUCUGACAGGUGAACUAGAGAAAAUGUUGCUUCCAUGAAAAGGAAUAACAAGAAGAAACGACCCACGUUUUCAGAAUCACUUUGGAGAUAUAUUAAAGAAAUGAUGAAAUAAAGGAAGAUGUUUACCUCUCACAAGAAAGGAUGAUGGCCACAGCAUUUCACUCGCCCAAAACCUUUCCGGAUAAUGACAGUCUGUCCACCUGUAUCUUCGUGUACCCUGCCUGAUUCGGAGUGAGUGCAUUGAAUUGAGGAGA